CAUAGUCGCUACACCCACAACCAUGAUCGAUGCCACCACUCCCGUCGUCAAAAUAUGGAAGCUACCACCGCCACCACUACAACAACCAAAACCAAUAUCUCACAGUCAUCAAACCAUUUGUACCACCAUUGCAUUGCAACUGCCAUAUCCACUAUCAUCACCACAAAAUCCAGAUCUGUCACCACUAGAUCCACCAUCUUUACCAUGACGAACCACCAUAUACCGUUGUCAUCAAAUCCACCACCACAUGCACCAACUACCGCUUCACAUCGCUGCACUCCCUGAUACACCAUCAUCACCGCUUCACAUAGCUAUGCUGCCAGAUCCACCAUCAUAACUACCACUACAACAUCACCACCACCACACAAAACACCACCCAAAUCUCUAGUGCACUGUCGGCACAACAAGGGUGGAUCAAUUUCACGGUGAUUCACUCUCAUUCUAGGGUGAAAUUGAUUGAGGGUGGGUGACGGGACUCAACGACAAUGGUGACUGGCAGUGAGCUUCACAACCACCAUCACCUAACACAAGACUGUGAGGUGGGGGUGGGUGGUGGUGCCAUGUCGGUCACUUGGGAUCAGUCUUCACAAUGGUUGGACGGGGUGGUGACGAUGGGUUACUACGCUUUCAUACCCAAGACUAUGAGGUGGGGUGGCAUCAGGAGCAUUUGUGCCACACCGGUGACGACGCCGCUACAAGUGGAGUCUAGAAGAGAG
rnacentral:lncRNA from 1 species